AUUGAACGCUGGCGGCAGGCCUGACACAUGCAAGUCGAGCGGAUGAAGGGAGCUUGCUCCUGGAUUCAGCGGCGGACGGGUGAGUAAUGCCUAGGAAUCUGCCUGGUAGUGGGGUAUAACGUCCGGAAACGGGCGCUAAUACCGCAUACGUCCUGAGGGAGAAAGUGGGGGAUCUUCGGACCUCACGCUAUCAGAUGAGCCUAGGUCGGAUUAGCUAGUUGGUGGGGUAAAGGCCUACCAAGGCGACGAUCCGUAACUGGUCUGAGAGGAUGAUCAGUCACACUGGAACUGAGACACGGUCCAGACUCCUAAGGGAGGCAGCAGUGGGGAAUAUUGGACAAUGGGCGAAAGCCUGAUCCAGCCAUGCCGCGUGUGUGAAGAAGGUCUUCGGAUUGUAAAGCACUUUAAGUUGGGAGGAAGGGCAGUAAGUUAAUACCUUGCUGUUUUGACGUUACCAACAGAAUAAGCACCGGCUAACUUCGUG
rnacentral:rRNA from 1 species